rnacentral:lncRNA from 1 species
AUGUCUUGUGAUUUGUAAAACUUGGCUGUGUUCUCAUGUCCUUAUUGUAGCUCAAGUGUUUUGUGUUGUUUUCGUGCUUUCUAGCUGUUUUUUUUUUCUUUUUAUUUUUUUAUUUUUUUUUAUCUCAAUCAGCUUAUGCUUGGGUGUCUUGUUCUGUGAUAUUGUAGGUUCGAGGGAAUCUCUUGGAACUCAGAUGAAACUCGUAUAGCAUAUGUUGCUGAAGAGCCUUCCCCUGCAAAGCCUACAUUCAAUGACUAGGGCUACAAGGUAAGUGGUUCUGAUGACAAGGAUUCCAGCAGCUGGAAAGGUCAAGGAGAUUGGGAGGAAGACUGGGGAGAAACAUAUGCGGGAAAAAGACAGCCUGCACUUUUUGUCAUAAACAUUACUAGGUUUUAUAUAAUUAAAAUAAAUAAUGUAGAAAAGAUUUAAUUUAUGGAUAAAAAUCCUAAUUACGAUAGUGAUUUUACAGUGGAGAGGUUCAAGCCGUCAAAGGCAUUGACAGAUUUUUGAGUGUUGGCCAAGUUGUGUGGGCUCCAUCAAGUGAAGGCUCUGCACAAUAUUUGGUUUUUGUUGGAUGGUCAUAUGAGACAAGAAAACUUGGUAUUAAGUACUGCUAUAACAGGGCUUGUGCAGUAUAUGCUGUUAAAGCACCACACGAAUCAAAACCUAAUGAAAAUGAGAUCCAGUAAGUCACUUCAGUUUAAUUUCUUUUUGAAAUUGAUUUUGUUUUAUUUAGUUUGGUUAUGCUGAGCUGAAAUAUAAAGUUGUGAUGAUGUAGCUCAACUGAAGAUGCUCAUGCACUAAUCCUAACUCAAACCAUAAGUAGUGCUUUUCUCCCACGGUUCAGGUAAGCUGGUAUUCACCUUCCCAAUGCACAUCAGAAUCAGGACUUUUUUAGCCUCUUCUUGUUUAUAUGUUGGAGGAUCUAUUUAAUUAGAAUUUGCUAUAGUGGUAUAGUUUUUGUAUGCAUGUAAGAUAUUGGUUGAUGACAAUAUGGCUGAGAAGUUGGUUAAUGAUGAAGGUAUCAGUUUACAUUUCAGAGAGCAGUACCAUGGAGUCAGUAUUGUAGCUAAAGUAGAAUGAAGAAAUUUUAAUAAGUUAAUUUUCAUUUUUCCUUCAAUAUCUUUUUGGAAACACUUUAAUGACUAUUGUGCAAAUAUUUUGAAGAAUAUAAAAAAUAAUCUGAAAACAUCACAAAUUUACCUAAAUGCUAUUUAUGUUAUCAGUUCUCAUUGCAUGAUAUGGUUCAAGAGUUAUUAGUAAUAGGUGUGGCAAUAUGAUUUGUACAUUUGAUUCUAAUACAUGAAAUUUCUACCAGCCCAGAUGGAAAUUUUCUUGUAUUUUUAUCAGCAAGAAGCUCAGUUGAUACUGGAGCCCAUUCUGCUACAAAUUCACUUCAUAGAAUUGAUUGGCCGAAGGAUGUGAAACUCUAUCAAUCUGCAAAAGUUCAUGAUGUGGUAAGCUUUUUUUACAACCAGUUUAACUUUAAUCCAAACAAUUGCCAUGGAGCUUUGUUAUCUAUUGUUACUCUUGCGUAUUUUUAUAUGCUCAUAUUAAUUAAGGCUUAAGAGAAUGAAUUUCUACUUUAUCAUAUGCUUAAGAACAUGAUCUAUAGUUUUUUUUACGGCAAUUGAAACACCCCUACUAGACAUUACCUAGGAUAUCUAGCAUGUGUGUUAAACUUGGCAUUGGAUACAUUAAAAUUUCAAUAAUAAAAAUUUCCUCUUAAUGAAAUAUGGAAAUGCUCGUCUUAUACCUCUGAAAUAAUACCACUUACGUGAACUUCCUAUGAUCCGACAACUUCUGCCUCUUCACCACGAACUAUUCUGUCAUCUAGCAACCUGAAUAUCUGAAAUAAAUAAAAGGGAUUGGGGUGAGACAGGAUGUCUCAGUGAGUUCCACCUAUCCUAGGUUGUAGGCAAUCGCAGGGAACCUAGGAUCGCCAUCUGUUCUAAACUUAACCCAUUUCGGGUUUAUACAGUCUUUAUCAUACAUAACUGAGCGAUCGGGGAUAACUAGGAUCACUACCUAAUACUAUCAUGAUUCUAUCAUAAUGUCAUAUUCUUAUUUUUACACAUAAUCAUAAUCAUAAUCUUAACUCUUACUUAAAGUUCAUGUCAUUAUUUUUUUUUUAUACAUUUCAAUGUGUGCAUAUAUACCACAUUAAUUACUAUGAGCCGUACCUCAUAUGCUACAUUAUCUCUUCGUUUUAGCAAACGGAGUUUUUGCAUUUGUUACUAUGAGCCGUACCUCAUAGACUACAUUAUCUCUUCAUUGUAGCAAACGGAUAUUUUCUCAAUUUUUUUUUUCUUUUUCUUUCUUUCUACGAGCAUGUUACUCAUUUCAAUUCUUCUUUCAAAUAAUUUCUAUAAGUAUAUACAUCAAUUGUCUUGCUUAGCAUUUUAUUGUUAGAACCAAUUCAUAUGACUUAGCAUAACAUUGAUAUCAUACAAGAUUUCAUUCACAUUAUCAUGACUUUGCAUAACCAUUAAAAUCUCGUUUGUAUUGAGUAAAAGUAAAUAACACAAUUUUAAUGACAUGAUUCAAACUAUUCAAAGGGAGAGUUAACUAACUAAAGGAACUCACCGUGAAUCAUUCCUGGAGAUUGAAAGCAACUUAUCCACAAUUUGCAGCUUCUUCUAUCUCUAAAACUCCAUAAUCACUUUUCCAAAAUAGCUUAUGCCUUAACUUAUAGGUCUUUCCUUUUCUAAAACAGUCCAACCCACUUGCGGCAUACUCCUACUUUAUCAACCAGCAUACAAAAAUUCUCAUUUCAGUCCCAUAAAUAAUCUCUUUUGGAACUUUAAUCCCUUUUUAUGCUUCAGCUCAUAGCUUCCACUUCUUGGCUGCUCAUGCUUCGUUUCAAGCUUCAGAUCAAAAGCCCAAACCCUAGAUCUUGUGUCUUGCUCCAACAUGCUCAAACUUGCCUCUUAUGUUCAAAUUAUAGCUCCAAACUUCAAUUCUCUUUGCAAUAUCACCAAUUCCAUUCUUAACCUCUUAAAUCCUUGUUAGAGUGCAUAUGAACAACUUCUCACGUGAGAAAAGAUUGAAGGAAUAAACCUUCUAAUAGUUCCCUUUGCUUCUAUGCUCAAGAAAUUAGCAAAACAUGAAGAAUCACUUGAAAGAAUGAAAUUAUUUUGAUGGAUUGGUGAGCAAGAGAGGAGGGGCGAUGGUAUAGAGAGGAAGGGGAAGAUAAUUUCAGAUUUUUUUUUUCAGUAGGAAAGUAGUAGAAACUUGUAGAAAAAUCAUACAAUUUGUCUUAUAUACACCUUUUAUUGUAAAAUGACAAUUUUGCCCUUUUUUUACAUUUUCUUCAAACGAAAAUAUCCGGUAAAGUGCCGUAAAGUUUUAAGCACAAUUUCCUUUUUACCCUUCUCUUAAAAAAAAUUCCAAAGAUAAAAGAACUUAUACUGAAUUUUUUACAUCUGGGGUAUUACAGCAAUGAUUUAGAAAAUUUAAAUGUUGAAUAUGGUUUUGUUAUUUAUGUCUAUGUUUUGUAUAUGAUUUUUUGUUUCUAGAACUUGUCUUUAUUGUGAUUAAAACGGUAAUGCUUUUGCUAUAACAAUUGAAUGAGGGUUUGGUCUGGUUAGGAAACUUCACAAUUUCGUCUUCUUGGGACUGCAUAUUUUAUUUGUCCUCUUAUCUGAAUCCCAGUUUCAAUUUUCAUAGAUGACAUUGAAUUUGAUGUGCACCAUACUUGGUCUCAUGUCUAGUAUCAUUUUCAUGAGGCUGUUUGUACUGUCCUCGAGGAUUCUAGCUUUUGAAACCUAGUAGAUGUUUGAAACCCAAAUACUAGUUUGCUUAGAAAUAUGCCUUUUCAACUUCUCAUAUGACUGAAGCAGCAUCAAGACCCAAC